rnacentral:tRNA from 1 species
GGAGAGAUGGCUGAGUGGCCGAAAGCACUUCCUUGCUAAGGAAGCGACUGGGUAACACUGGUCCGUGGGUUCGAAUCCCACUCUCUCCGCCA